UUUUUGUUUUGUGCGAGCAGAAGUGUGCAAGAGAUCUGCUAUGCUACCUGCUAAAGCCUCAUUGUGGUGCACGUGCUAUUGAAAUGGAAAAUGGAAAUGGCUUUUAGCACGUGGGAGUCGGGGUUAGAUAGAGGUUAUCUUGGUUUUCAUGACCCGGGAAUAAUGCUUAUCAGGGAAAACAAUUAUGGUGAAAAGGCAUCUUACUUGGCGAGUUCGAGGAGAAAUAUGAGCAUAUAGGUUUUUUCGGUUUUUUGAAAUCAAGAACCGGACCGGACCGAAACUGGUCGGUUUGACUCAAUUCAGUUUGAUUUCGA